rnacentral:rRNA from 1 species
CCCUUAGGGGGAAUGUUAACGGACCCGGCCCAGGGGGUUGAUAACUUCAAUAAGAAUUUGAACGGAAGGUCCGCACAACAAUAAGGCAUAUAAUUUAAUUCGAUGAUACACGAGAAACCUUACCUAACUAGAAUGGCUCUUGACCACCAAUAAAAACUAAUUUUGUAACAAUACACAGGAGUUAAGGUGCUACAUAACUGUCAUCAGCUCGUACCAUAAAAUGUUGGAUUAAGUCCCACAACAAGCACAACCCCUAUCAUUAGUUACCAACAAAUUAAACUGAAAACUCUAAUGAAACUGCCGCCGUAAGGCGUGAGGAAGGAGGGGAUGAUGUCAAGUCAUCAUGGCCUUUAUGCCCAGGGCUACACACGCGCUACAAUGGGAAGUACAAAGGGUUGCUACCUGGCAACAGGACGCUAAUCUCAAAAAACUUCUCUCAGUUCAGAUUGCAGGCUGCAACUCGCCUGCAUGAAGCUGGAAUCGCUAGUAAUCGUAGAUCAGCAAUGCUACGGUGAAUACGGUCCACGGACUAUUGAUCACACGACCGACCGCGUCAGAGUCACAUGAGAGAGCCGGGGAGGACAUGAACAUGUCGGUAAUCGCGAUCCAAGGACGCCGUCGUGAGGGUAUGCACCAGGAUGGAUCUGGAGCGCGUCAGUCGUCAGCAAGGUAGCCAG